UACGGAGGAUCCAAGCGUUAUCCGGAUUUAUUGGGUUUAAAGGGUGCGUAGGCGGUUUAUUAAGUCAGUGGUGAAAGCCCGGAGCUCAACUUCGGAACUGCCAUUGAUACUGAUAGACUUGAGUACAGAUGAAGUGGGCGGAAUGUGACAAGAAGCGGUGAAAUGCUUAGAUAUGUCACAGAACACCGAUUGCGAAGGCAGCUCACUAAAGUGUAACUGACGCUGAGGCACGAAAGCGUGGGGAUCAAACAGG
rnacentral:rRNA from 1 species